rnacentral:rRNA from 1 species
UACGUAGGGUGCAAGCGUUAAUCGGAAUUACUGGGCGUAAAGCGUGCGCAGGCGGCUAUGCAAGACAGAUGUGAAAUCCCCGGGCUCAACCUGGGAACUGCAUUUGUGACUGCAUGGCUAGAGUACGGCAGAGGGGGAUGGAAUUCCGCGUGUAGCAGUGAAAUGCGUAGAUAUGCGGAGGAACACCGAUGGCGAAGGCAAUCCCCUGGGCCUGUACUGACGCCCAUGCACGAAAGCGUGGGGAGCAAACAGG